GCCGUCAUAGCUCAGGGGCAGAGCACUUCCAUGGUAAGGAAGGGGUCGCUGGUUCAAAUCCAGUUGACGGCACCA
rnacentral:tRNA from 1 species